rnacentral:rRNA from 1 species
AGAGUUUGAUCCUGGCUCAGGAUGAACGCUGGCGGCGUGCCUAACACAUGCAAGUCGAACGGGGAUAUAUUGGAAUGAGGAUUCGUCUGAAGGAAAAUGUAUCUUAGUGGCGGACGGGUGAGUAACGCGUGGGCAACCUGCCUUACACAGGGGGAUAACAAUUAGAAAUGAUUGCUAAUACCGCAUAAGACCACGGUACUGCAUGGUACAGAGGUAAAAACUGAGGUGGUGUAAGAUGGGCCCGCGUCUGAUUAGGUAGUUGGUGGGGUAGAAGCCUACCAAGCCGACGAUCAGUAGCCGACCUGAGAGGGCGACCGGCCACAUUGGGACUGAGACACGGCCCAAACUCCUACGGGAGGCAGCAGUGGGGAAUAUUGCACAAUGGGGGAAACCCUGAUGCAGCGACGCCGCGUGAGUGAGGAAGUAUUUCGGUAUGUAAAGCUCUAUCAGCAGGGAAGAAAAUGACGGUACCUGACUAAGAAGCCCCGGCUAACUACGUGCCAGCAGCCGCGGUAAUACGUAGGGGGCAAGCGUUAUCCGGAUUUGCUGGGUGUAAAGGGAGCGUAGACGGACUUGCAAGUCUGAUGUGAAAAUCCGGGGCCCAACCCCGGAACUGCAUUGGAAACUGUAUAUCUAGAGUGUCGGAGAGGCAAGUGGAAUUCCUGGUGUAGCGGUGAAAUGCGUAGAUAUUAGGAGGAACACCGGUGGCGAAGGCGGCUCACUGGACUGUAACUGACGUUGAGGCUCGAAAGCGUGGGGAGCAAACAGGAUUAGAUACCCUGGUAGUCCACGCCGUAAACGAUGA